GUCUUCCGAAUACACCGGCUCACGAUUACGUUACCAGCGUUUGUUUCGGCCACGUCGGUUUCAGUUCCCGUGUAAUCAGAAAACAUCUUUCACAAAACCGAAAACACCCGUAUCCAAUACCGCUCGUCCUGAUCGUUGUCUUCCUGAUCGUUUUCUUCACCACGAGGACGAAGGAGCAGCGACGAUGAUCUCCCUCGCCAUGAGCAGUACCAUCGCCGUCCCUCCGUUUGCCUCCGCCGCCGAGCGCCGUUGAUAUCCAUUCGCCUCCGCCGUCGUGGGCUGCGCCGCCGAUCUCUCUUCGUCGCAGCCGUGGGCAGCGUCGCCGUGAGCAGUAGCGAUUGUUGUGAACGGCUUCUUUUCCGUCACGAGCCAUCCGAGCAGUUGUCUGUCCUCCAAUCGUCCGGACUCGCAUCGUCUACAAGGCUGACGACGCAGUGAAUACGUUACCUGAGCUCCAACCAAACGCGUCGAGGGUGUCUAGCCUGUGUAUUGCUUCUAACUUUAGUAUGCAAUUGAAACGAAUUUGACUAGGCCUGGGCAGACGUUCAGGGAUGCGGUGCGGAACGGUCUGCUAACAAAUAACGUGUCUGUGUUUUAGGGAACAACACUGGAGACAGUGGCGAGUCUAGUAGGGUGCUCAACAGGCUCUCUAGCCUACCCUUCAUAAAUACAAUUUUAUUUACUACUACACGUCCCAACUCAGCAACCCAAUCUCUCAGUCUCGCCAAACAACACCAACCGAACACACGCACGUAGCGCACAGGACAUCGAGGAGGCACCCAUGGGAGCGACAUGACAUACCCUCACGCUCCGUAGCUCGAGACAAGCAUAUCAAUAUUUGUUUGUUGUAAAAAAACAUAUCAAUAUUUGUCUGUUGAA